CCUACGGGAGGCAGCAGUAGGGGAAUCUUCCGCAAUGGACGAAAGUCUGACGGAGCAACGCCGCGUGAACGAUGAAGGCCUUCGGGUCGUAAAGUUCUGUUGUUAGGGAAGAACAAGUGCUAGUUGAAUAAGCUGGCACCUUGACGGUACCUAACCAGAAAGCCACGGCUAACUACGUGCCAGCAGCCGCGGUAAUACGUAGGUGGCAAGCGUUGUCCGGAAUUAUUGGGCGUAAAGCGCGCGCAGGCGGUUUCUUAAGUCUGAUGUGAAAGCCCCCGGCUCAACCGGGGAGGGUCAUUGGAAACUGGGAAACUUGAGUGCAGAAGAGGAAAGUGGAAUUCCAAGUGUAGCGGUGAAAUGCGUAGAGAUUUGGAGGAACACCAGUGGCGAAGGCGACUUUCUGGUCUGUAACUGACGCUGAGGCGCGAAAGCGUGGGGAGCAAACAGGAUUAGAUACCCUGGUAGUCCACGCUGUAAACGAUGAGUGCUAAGUGUUAGAGGGUUUCCGCCUUUAGUGCUGAAGUUAACGCAUUAAGCACUCCGCCUGGGGAGUACGGUCGCAAGACUGAAACUUAAAUGAAAUUGAACGGCUUAGAGAGUUCGACGAGGACACGACGGAGGGAGUUAGG
rnacentral:rRNA from 1 species